AUUGAACGCUGGCGGCAGGCCUAACACAUGCAAGUCGAGCGGAUGAAGGGAGCUUGCUCCUGGAUUCAGCGGCGGACGGGUGAGUAAUGCCUAGGAAUCUGCCUGGUAGUGGGGGAUAACGUCCGGAAACGGGCGCUAAUACCGCAUACGUCCUGAGGGAGAAAGUGGGGGAUCUUCGGACCUCACGCUAUCAGAUGAGCCUAGGUCGGAUUAGCUAGUUGGUGGGGUAAAGGCCUACCAAGGCGACGAUCCGUAACUGGUCUGAGAGGAUGAUCAGUCACACUGGAACGGAGACACGGUCCGACCUCCUACGGAAGCAGCAGUGGGGAAUAUUGGACAAUGGGCGAAAGCCUGAUCCAGCCAUGCCGCGUGUGUGAAGAAGGUCUUCGGAUUGUAAAGCACUUUAAGUUGGGAGGAAGGGCAGUAAGUUAAUACCUUGCUGUUUUGAUGUUACCAACAGAAUAAGCACCGGCUAACUUCGUG
rnacentral:rRNA from 1 species